rnacentral:tRNA from 1 species
GCGCCCAUAGCUCAGCUGGUAGAGCAGUUGCCUCUUAAGCAAACGGUCCCAGGUUCGAACCCUGGUGGGCGCA